rnacentral:sRNA from 1 species
GAAGGAGUGCUUAUGAAUGCUAACAUCACUGUUGCUAUUACUGUUUGUCUCCUUUGAUCCACUGCUCUCCCUUUGAUCUGCAGGUGGCAGCUUUGGCUAUCGCAAGUGGUAAUGGCUUGUUACUCAAAGGAGGAAAGGAGGCUGCACACAGCAACCGGAUUCUCCACCUCCUGACCCAGGAGGCUCUCUCAAUCCAUGGAGUCAAGGAGGCCGUGCAACUGGUGAAUACCAGAGAAGAAGUUGAAGAUCUUUGCCGCCUAGACAAAAUGAUAGAUCUGAUCAUUCCACGUGGCUCUUCCCAGCUGGUCAGAGACAUCCAGAAAGCUGCUAAGGGGAUUCCAGUGAUGGGGCACAGCGAAGGGAUCUGUCACAUGUAUGUGGAUUCCGAGGCCAGUGUUGAUAAGGUCACCAGGCUAGUCAGAGACUCUAAAUGUGAAUAUCCAGCUGCCUGUAAUGCUUUGGAGACUUUGUUAAUCCACCGGGAUCUGCUCAGGACACCAUUAUUUGACCAGAUCAUUGAUAUGCUGAGAGUGGAACAGGUAAAAAUUCAUGCAGGCCCCAAAUUUGCCUCCUAUCUGACCUUCAGCCCCUCCGAAGUGAAGUCACUCCGAACUGAGUAUGGGGACCUGGAAUUAUGCAUUGAAGUAGUGGACAACGUUCAGGAUGCCAUUGACCACAUCCACAAGUAUGGCAGCUCCCACACGGAUGUCAUCGUCACAGAGGAUG